rnacentral:tRNA from 1 species
CGGGGUGUGGCGCAGUUGGCUAGCGCGCAGCGUUCGGGUCGCUGAGGCCGUGGGUUCAAGUCCCACCACCCCGA